GACGAACGCUGGCGGCGUGCUUAACACAUGCAUGUCGAACGGUAAGGCCCUUCGGGGUACACGAGUGGCGAACAGGUGAGUAACACGUGGGUGAUCUGCCCUGCACUUCGGGAUAAGCCUGGGAAACUGGGUCUAAUACCGGAUAGGACCACUGCCUACAUGGGUGGUGGUGGAAAGCUUUUGCGGUGUGGGAUGGGCCCGCGGCCUAUCAGCUUGUUAGUGGGGUGAUGGCCUACCAAGGCAACGACGGGUAGCCGGCCUGAGAGGGUGACCGGCCACACUGGGACUGAGAUACGGCCCAGACUCCUACGGGAGGCAGCAGUGGGGAAUAUUGCACAAUGGGCGCAAGCCUGAUGCAGCGACGCCGCGUGAGGGAUGACGGCCUUCGGGUUGUAAACCUCUUUCAGCACCGACGAAGCGCAAGUGACGGUAGGUGCAGAAGAAGGACCGACCAACUACGUGCCAGCCGCCGCCGUAA
rnacentral:rRNA from 1 species